ACAAAUGCAAUUAAUUUUUUUUUCUUGUUUUGUUUAACAAUAAUAUUUAAUUUGGGUGUGCGUGUUUUAUGGUUUAAUGUUUGCUCAGUUUAGCCGCAAUGUUUAAUAUUGAACAAAAAAGAUUAAAGAGAGGUCUUAAAGUUCCCGCGGGGAUGGAUCCUAUGGACCGGAACGAGCUUACUCACCUAUAGAGCUUGAAGAGGAUCGAUACCUCCUCAACAACAACACAUAUGAACCGUGGUCAUGGCUGAAUUAUUUAAAGGUUGUCUCUUGGUACAAUUAGAAGUUAAAAUCAUAAGCCCAACAACAACGAAAUCAACUGCACAACCCUGUAGUAUGGUGGCGCAAAUUUCCACUAGGCUGUCAAAAUUAUGUACACUGUCAAAUUGAUAUUUUAGUUUUUAUUUGCAUUAUCAUGUUAAGCAGCCACAAGAUCAAAAGAGUUAUGAUUAUAAACGUGUAAAUUAUAAAUUCAAACGAUAAAAAUGUGAAAAAAAACAAAAUGUAAAAAACCUUUACAAUACAAACAAAGCAUAUCGACGUUCUAGUAGGAUUUCAAUACAACUCUAAAAUUGCAAAAUUUUAUCAGCUGGACUUAUGACUGUACCUUUUAAUUGUACCAAGGGUUGUCUCAGAGCAGAUAAUACGCGAGAAAGAAAUUAACAACAAAUAAAAUGCAAAUAAUAAUCUGA
rnacentral:sRNA from 1 species